GCUGGGCAUGGCGGUGGUGCCUGUAAUCGCAGCUACUUGGGAGGCUGAGGCAGGAGGAUUGCUUAAGUGCAGGAAGUCUGGGCCCCUCAGGUGUCCACACUAAGUUUGGCAUCUAUAUGGUGAUCUCCUGGGAGUGGGGGACCACCAGGUUGCCUAAAGAGGGGUGAACCGGCCCAGGUGGGAAACAGAGCAGGUCAGAGCUCUCGUGCUGAUCAGUAGUGGGACUGCACCUGCAAAUAGCCACCGCACUCCAGCCUGGGCAACACAGUGAGAUCCCAUCUCUU
rfam:Gorilla gorilla gorilla genomic chromosome, chr8, whole genome shotgun sequence